AUGGCAGCACUGACGUGCCAGCAUGCUUCGAGGGAGAGAGCGUGGCCUCCUCUCUAAGUUCGCUGAACACACAACAUAGCGACAGCGACUGCAUGCCGCCUGCCUGCGUGAGGAGGUGCAAGUUGGUGAUGUAAGAAAAAAGAGCUAUCUGUGCAUCAUCUCGACCAAAUUGUCCGCUAGCCUUAUGAACAAGGGCUUCGAAAGAAACUUGAGGCUCUUGCCAAGAGAGCAAACUGCAACAUACUGCACCGGAGGAUACAGCCAAUAUUUAACCACAUAUACUGUAGUGUUUGCAUGUCGGAGGAGGAUACAGCUCUUCGGCUCAGCAUCUGGAAGAUUACCCUCCACAGCCAUUGCACAAGCAAAAACCAUGCAGUUAUAAUCUAACUUGCAGUUAUGCACCACAACAAAAAUGCACAACGCAAGCAAGCUGAAGAUUCGUAAGGGCAGCUGUCAUUUCGGUGGAGGCUGCUUAAAGCAAAAAAAAAAAAAAGAGCACGAGGUUGUUUGCCCUGUGAGAGUAAAGGCAACUUAUAGUAAGCUCACUUGGGAACCGCCAACUGGCACUGUGUCACUGCAUACGAUAUUGAAAUAAUAGUAUAUCACUUGCAAAUUCAAGUAUUUUUAAAUAUUGUUCGAAUAUUGCUGAAAGCACAAUCAAACAUAUAUUUGAUGACCACGAGCAAGAAGCCCCAUACAAUCUACAUUAGACAUUACAUACUAGAGAGCACUGCAUUGCUCAGGGAGCCAGACAUUCUUGCAAAACCACGUUCAUGAUAGUUAGUUAGAAAUGGCAUCCUGCAGUUGGUAUUGUUUGGUGACACUGUUUAUUAAUUAUGUGGUACCUUUGCCUACUUAUCGAAUUAAAACUUGACUCAGUUCAUUGAAGCAUACUUGAUGCAAUGGUAACACAAUCGGCUGUAGCCGUUAGAGCUUUUAAAAAAGCGUGUUUCCUUUUUUUUCCCUCUGCCGCUGCCACAUACAACAGUAAGUUAUGGUUUCACCCUAAAGGGACACAAAAGGCAAAAAACAGUUUAUGUCAGAGUGAAAGGUCAAUGAGUGAGAACGUCUGAAACGUCAAUAGUAUCAA
rnacentral:misc_RNA from 1 species